AAAUGAUAUGGAUCGGAUAAAGCUCGAUUAAGGCGUUGAACUUUCUAGAAUUCAACCCCCAUGGCAAUGAUUUUGUUUUUCUAUUAUCAUUUUCCUUUGUAUUCUUUUUGAAUUAGGGCAUGGAUAGCUUUGAAAUGUAAUUUUCUCUUAUUCUGCCUCAAAGGAUAUUAAUUUAUUUGAAUGCUGUACACUUGAAUGUUGUGGCUGAAAAGAUAAUUUUCACAGUAUUAAAGAAAAUGUCGUCCAGAGAUGUAUUUAUUACUGGUGGUGGGAGUGCCAAGCGAGACAAUGAAAUAGUAACUAGCAAACUAUGAUUAGUUUAGCCAUUUUUGUGCUAUUAUUAUUGGUUUUUUGAAGCCACAGCUCUUGGUAUAUAAUUGUUGUGGUGAAAUAAUGAUUGUGAUGUUUUGCUACAUGACUAGAUUUGAACAAUGGAGUGGAUAAUGUUCUUAUAAGCUUGAGAUUAUGUUAUCUAUCAGCCUCAAGAGCAACCUUGAAUGUCGGUCUCAGCCAGAGGUUGAUAUCAUUCUCGUUGAUCCCAUGCUAAACUGGAAAUCUGAUACUGAGUUGUGAAAGUAAAGGUCCUCCUGGCCAUAAUCUUGGGA
rnacentral:misc_RNA from 1 species